AUGGCGGAUGACGCUGGUGCAGUGGGGAGCGGGGAGGGGGCCCGGAGGUCCCAGGAGCCCUGGGAUGGGGAACUGUGGUGGCUUCUACGGAGGUUUUGGCAGUGGUAUCCUGGGCUGAGGUUGCGGCUGUGGCUGGGGCUGGGGCCGUGGCUGCGGAGCUCGCGGAGGCAAAGCCCAGGAUGAGGAGUGGAUGCCUGUCACCAAGUUGGGCUGCCUGGUCAAAGACAUGAAGAUUAAAUCUCUGGAGGAGAUCUGUCUCUUCUCUCUGCCCAUCAAGGAAUCUGAGAUCACUGACUUUUUCCUGGGGGCCUCUCUCAAGGAUGAGGUUUUGAAGAUUAUGCUGGUGCAGAAGACCUGUGCUGGCCAGCACACCAGGUUCAAGGCAUUUGUUGCUAUUGGGGACUACAGUGGUCACGUCGGUCUGGGUGUUUAAGUGCUCCAAGGAGGUGGCCACUGCCAUCCGUGGGGCCAUCAUCCUGGCCAAGCUCUCCAUUGUCCCCGUGUGCAGAGGCUACUGGGGGAACAAGAUGGGCAAGCCCCACACCGUCCCUUGCAAGGUGACAGGCCGCUGUGGCUCUGUGCUGGUGCGCCUCAUCCCCGUGCCCAGGGGCGUCAUCUCAGCACCUGUGCCCAAGAAGCUGCUCAUGAUGGCUGGUAUCGACUGCUGCACCUCAGCCAGGGGCUGCACUGCCACCUUGGGCAACUUUGCCAAGGCCACCUUUGAUGCCAUCUCUAAGACUUACAGCUGCCUGACCCCCGAUCUCUGGAAGGAGACUAUAUUCACCAAGUCUCCCUGUCAGGAAUUCACUGACCACCUCGUCAAGACCCACAGCAGAGUCUCCGUGCAGAGGACCCAAGCUCCAGCUGUGGCUACAACAUAGGGUUUUUAUACAAGAAAAAUAAAGUGAAUUAACAUUGUAAAAACAAAAAAG